UUUUAUUGCUAAAAUUUCUGCUUUUAGUGAAUUUAAGGGUUAGAUAUGCAAUUGCAAUUGUGCUUGGCAAUUUUAAACUUCAGAUAUGCAAUUGCUCAUAUUUGACUUUCUGAUAUUGCUACGUAUAGGGUGAUUUAAAUUUUUUCUUCUAAAUUUGAACUGUAUUGUUCUAUUGCUGAUAACCUCCAUUUGUGUCUUCUAUUGUCUCCAUUCCACAUUUCUUUUCUCUGUAGGAAUUAUUGAAGGAUGUGUCGAUUUGGGAGAGAAGAAUUAUAAGUGCAUUUACUGUGGAGCACUUUUUUGGUUAAAAGAAUCCAUUCAGCAGCAAGAAGAAGCUUGUAAGCAAGCAACUGCCCAAAUCUGUCUCUCUCUCUAGAUUUUGCAAGGAUCUCCUAAAUACUUGGAGAAGACUGAGAAUUCCACAAAGCAUCGCAACUCUAACGACACUUGGCUGCUCACUUUAAAGAACAGUUUGUCGGUAUGGAAGUACUCUCAUACAGUUCUGCACCAUGCUAUGAUACUGUUAAUUUAAGGUGGAAAUUGAUUGUGAUAAGCUCAAGUUCACAUCAAUUCAGUCUCCUAGGUUUUAGAAAAAACAGAGUUUUUGGUGCUAAAUUUGAUGUUAGAAGGAAAUUUUUGAGCUGUUACAAUUUAGAUCAGCCUUUCUUGAAGCAACUAAAUCACCAAGGAGGUUUUAGGUCAUUAGACACCGGUGAAAACUUCAAACAUGUUGGUCCAAUUUUAUCAAGUGGAAGCUCUGAUGGCUACGUAAUUGAAGGGGAAGAGAAUGAAAGUAUUUCGAAAACAGGGGAACCAGUAACUAAAGUUUUGAGUCCUGGUCUACCAGAUGAAUCCAAAGGUGAAUCGGGUGCGCCAGUAAAUAGUUGCUUUUGAGAAUGAAAGCCCAAAUUAAGUGUGCAUUAUGAGAAAGCUGGAUGUGAAACCUUAGGCUCCCUUCCAGUGUUGUUUCUCCCUGGUUUUGGGGUUGGUUCCUUUCACUAUGAGAAGCAACUGAAGGAGUUGGGGCUUGAUUUUAGAGCACGGGCUAAGCAGCUGAAUGCAUGAUUGGUGUAUGCUAUGGUACUCCACAAGCGACAUUUGGAGGAAUUGCAUUAAAAUUCUUUGCCUCAAUUCGGCUUGAAAUACGUUCUACAGGGAAGAUAAAGUCUGUAAAUGGAGAUGAAGUAAUUGGAGUUCGGGUUCGUGUAAGAGUGCAAAAGAGCAAGGUAAUUUUGAAUGCAUCAAAAUGGAUUCUGUAUCUAUGAGGGUUGUACACCAUGUACAGAAAGAACAUUUCUAUUACUUUUGCCUUUAUGAUUACUUGAGCAGUAAUUGCACUUUCAAUAUAAAUUUCAUAACUGGUAUGAAGUAUGACAAGUUGUCUUGCCAAUUCUUAAAGGUUAUGUCUAAUUUCUCAAAGUUUUUUUUGUCCCAAUUCUACACUUUGCUAUAAGUGCAGCCUGUGACCAUGAAAACAAUUGUAACAAUCGACAAAUUGUUAAAUUCCCCUUUUGAUACAACAAGAUUUGGAGAAAUCCAAUCUUGAAGGGUCACCAAGUUCCGUGAAUACAAGCGUACACAUAGUAUCAUUUGCCAUUAUUUUGAUGCUACCAUAUACUGUGAGGUAUAGUGGGUUGUUGGUGUCACUUGUGCAAUUUAGCCAGUAAUCAGCUAUAUGUUGCUCAUCUGGAUAAAGCAAAUGAUAGUAUGCCUCAUAUUGGCCACCAGUGGACUCCAAUAUUUUUCCUGCCCACUUGUUAUGCUCAAUUUGCAACCCAUUCGAAUAAUAGUUGAUUUGAUAGCCAUCAGGCUGAAAGAUGAAUUAUUAAACUAAAUAAACAUGUAAACAAAAAAAUCAAUCAAUUACGAUAAAGAAAAAAACAAAUAUAAAACACUUACAAACUGACUACCUUGGACCUGGCCACCCAAGAUAUGUGGGUUAUUGUCCAUCUGUAGAAUGGAAAAAACAAAAUUAUAAAAUCUGAAAACUGUUGUAAAUAAUUAGUUGUGGAGCCCACAUGUUCCCUAGGCUUUGCCGAUAAAAGGGUUCAUCCCUUCAUUGUUCAAUACACAUAGAAAUGAGAAUAAGAAACUCAGUUUCUCUACUUUCUCUCUCUCUCUCUCAAUUUCCUCUCCAAAUUCUCCAGUUUUAUAACACGUUAUCAGCACGAUUUCUCUACCUCCAAAAUUCAGAGCCUCAACGCUCUCUCUCUCUUUCUCUGCCAAGCCUCAAACCUUAACAACCGACCUCUGCUUUGUUUCCCAGCAUGUAGAUCACAAUAAAACAAGCAAGCAAGCAACCAUGGGUUUGUAAAUCACAGAUCCAGAUUUGUAAAACCAAUCACUCUUCACUGGAUACAUAAAAGCGGUAACAAAUUACCUACCCAACAGCUUCUCUCUCACACCGAUCAUCUUCCCCACCAACUGGCCUGAGCCUUAACAUAAGAAAAAUAAAAGAGCUCUCAUUUCAGAUCAGAAUUAUCAAUCCAAAGCAGAGAAAAGGGCUACGGCAGAUAAGUUCUCAUACUUUUCUUUAUCCUAAUUGUUUAUCACAUUAUUAUAUCUAUAAUAUUAUAUAAUCAUAAUAGAAGGCUAGCGGCAGGUUGAAGAAGUGAACCUAAGCUUCGAAGAUGUCUGGCCAUGGAAACAAAAUAUCAGACCAGUUUCCGGCAGGUAUCGGCCGGCUACACCAGCUCACAGUCCUCAACUUCGCCGACCAACCUCUCCAGCCUCAUGUACCUCGACCUCCGAAACAACAAAAUCUCAGGGGAGCUGCCCCGAGACUUCGGCCUGAGCAGAAACACUCUUCUUCUUCUUCCUCCACCUACUCCUCCGAACACAACCACCACAACCAUCACCAGAGCAACAGCAACAGCUCGAGACCACGACCAUGGGUUCGGACCCCAUAGCCAGCACCAGAGCAACAGCUCGAGCUCUGCCGCCGCCUCCGCCGAGGGUCAUGUUUCAGAGCCUGACUGGUAAGCCUCUGCAGGGACUGACCAUGAUUGAUCUGAACGACCUCGGGUGGCUCGUUUGACCAGAACUUGAAGGAGCUGGCUCAGAGAAAUCCAGUCCCAGUCCCACCAACUCCAGCAGCUGUGCCUGCAGCUGGAGACCAUGCCCUGAACCUGAACAUGCAAGCAACAAUGGAGAGACAAGCUUUCGGGCUUAGCAACAUAGUGAAGAAGCAGCAGAGCUUCUAAUGGCCUCAUCUCUUGCCUCUGCCGCUGGGGUGUUUUCCGGCCAGAAUCCCCACCAGGAACACGCCGUGGUUGCGGACGUAGUGGAGCGGCACCGGUGUGUUCUCCCUCACCGGGUUUGCUUUUGUUACUGUUGGUAGCAGUAAGUACGAAGGCUUCGCAGUUGCGGCAGCAGCAACAGCAGACGGAGGCUGAGGGCUGACGGAGAGUCUGGCCUUCCACCACUAGCUGUGCUUUGUGGUGUGGACGUGCAGUGGGUUUGCAUUCUGAGGUGAUGAGAUGUUGAAGCAGAGAGAUAGCAGCUGAAGCAAGAAGCAGCAAAUUGGUAUGAGGAGAUGGCGGCUAGCCCCUCCCACUGACUCUGAAACUCGUCGUCUCUCUCUCCUAACAAUAGGAGAGUGGAGUGAGCGUGGGGAGUGAGGCAGACCAUCGGCUUCACCUGGGGCCCCGCCGGAUUCUCCAUCUACAUAAUCAACCAGCCUCAUGUCCAAGUCAUUUUCUUCAUGGAAAAGGUUUUUGCAAUGGCCGCCAGCCAUGACAAGGCAACUUGGUCGUUGCUGUCUUUGGAGGCUUGCCAGAAAAUCGAAUAAAUAAAAAAAUAAAAAAAAUAAAAAAAAUAAAAAAAAAAGCAAGAGAGAGGCAGAAGAUGAGAAGUAGUGGAAGAAGAAAUUUGGUGCCGUCUGACUGGGUUAAAGAAAUUGAGUGAGUGGGUGAGGUUGUAGUACAAACGUGGUGGGACUAUUUGCGUCCCAUGGAUAAGCACAGAUUGGCUGGCUUUUGAGGAAAAUAUUGUUAACAAAUCUCACGCGGAGCUCCAUAAAAGCACAGCAGCUCAGGCACACGAGAUGCUGUCGGGUGGAAAGAAGAAAAGACAAGGAGAGGGUGAAAGAGAAAGCAACAGGCAAAAGUGGCCAACUUGAUUUUUGCAUUGUGGGCGGCAUUAUUGGUGCUGGGCAACUUGAUUUUUGCAUUGUGGGCGGCAUUAUUGGUGCUGGCCAACUUGCUUCAGGCAUAAGUUUUGAAGUUUUCUUUAAAGCCCCAUUGAUUGUGCCGCUAUCGAAAUUACACAUGCACACUAAAUGAUUGCCAGGCUUUACUGAUUGACAGCCACCCACUUGGUCUCUUGGUUUUGGAAUCUUAACGUGAACUUCGGUCGGGGUAAAUAUGACUUCUACUUUAUAAA